rnacentral:lncRNA from 1 species
GACUUUCAUUUGGAGCAUGAAUAACCAAAACUCUGCCCAGCAACUACUGAGACCUGUCAUUCUCAAAUGAACUCAAGAGGAUUCAAGACUCAUCAGAGAGGAGUUUCACUGGCGGAGGAGAAAAGAGUGUAGCUUAUACGGCAGAGGGCAAACGGGCUUGGUGAUGGAGAGGAAAUUAGCCUCAAGUCGUUGUCAUGAGGACUAGCUGAAAUUCUAGUGACUUGGCCAGAGCGGUGUCUUUCAGUGUGGUAAUUCUUGCAAGCUGAGUGGUGUUAUCUGGAGGCUAUGCUUGGCCACUGAGUGNCAUAUCCA